rnacentral:rRNA from 1 species
UACGAAGGGGGCUAGCGUUGCUCGGAAUCACUGGGCGUAAAGCGCACGUAGGCGGUCUUUUAAGUCAGGCGUGAAAGCCCCGGGCUUAACCUGGGAACUGCGUUUGAUACGGAUGGGCUAGAGUUCGGGAGAGGAGAGUGGAAUUCCCAGUGUAGAGGUGAAAUUCGUAGAUAUUGGGAAGAACACCGGUGGCGAAGGCGGCUCUCUGGACCGAUACUGACGCUGAGGCGCGAAAGCGUGGGGAGCAAACAGG